UACGUAGGGUGCAAGCGUUGUCCGGAAUUAUUGGGCGUAAAGAGCUCGUAGGCGGUCUGUCGCGUCUGCUGUGAAAACUCAGGGCUUAACCCUGAGCUUGCAGUGGGUACGGGCAGACUAGAGUGCGGUAGGGGAGACUGGAAUUCCUGGUGUAGCGGUGAAAUGCGCAGAUAUCAGGAGGAACACCGGUGGCGAAGGCGGGGCUCUGGGCCGUAACUGACGCUGAGGAGCGAAAGCAUGGGGAGCGAACAGG
rnacentral:rRNA from 1 species